UGCACGGUGGCACAAUUGGUAGCACUGUUGCCCUGCAGAGGGAAGGUCCUGGGUUCGACCCCCGGAUGGGGGUCUUUCUGCAU